rnacentral:rRNA from 1 species
CCUACGGGAGGCAGCAGUGAGGAAUAUUGGUCAAUGGCCGGGAUCCUGAACCAGCCAAGCCGCGUGAGGGACGACGGUGCUAUGGAUUGUAAACUUCUUUUGUCAGAGAACAAAACCCGGGACGUGACCCUGACUGCGUGUAUCCGAAGAAAAAGCAUCGGCUAACUCCGUGACAGCAGCCGCGGUAAUACGGAGGAUGCGAGCGUUAUCCGGAUUUAUUGGGUUUAAAGGGUGCGUAGGCGGUCCGUUAAGUCAGCGGUAAAAUUGCGGGGCUCAACCCUGUCGAGCCGUUGAAACUGGCAGACUUGAGUUGGCGAGAGGUACGCGGAAUGCGCAGUGUAGCGGUGAAAUGCAUAGAUAUCGCGCAGAACUCCGAUUGCGAAGGCAGCGUACCGGCGCCGGACUGACGCUGAGGCACGAAAGCGUGGGGAUCGAACAGGAUUAGAUACCCCAGUAGUC